UACGUAGGUGGCAAGCGUUGUUCGGAAUUACUGGGCGUAAAGCGCGCGUAGGCGGCUCUUCAAGUCAGGCGUGAAAGCCCCGGGCUUAACUCGGGAACUGCGCUUGAUACUGUCGAGCUAGAGUGUGGAAGGGGCGAUUGGAAUUCCGUGUGUAGCGGUGAAAUGCGUAGAUAUACGGAGGAACACCAGGGGCGAAGGCGGAUCGCUGGGACGUGACUGACGCUGAGACGCGAAAGCGUGGGGAGCAAACAGG
rnacentral:rRNA from 1 species